UAGGGAAUCUUCGGCAAUGGACGAAAGUCUGACCGAGCAACGCCGCGUGAGUGAAGAAGGUUUUCGGAUCGUAAAACUCUGUUGUUAGAGAAGAACAAGGACGUUAGUAACUGAACGUCCCCUGACGGUAUCUAACCAGAAAGCCACGGCUAACUACGUGCCAGCAGCCGCGGUAAUACGUAGGUGGCAAGCGUUGUCCGGAUUUAUUGGGCGUAAAGCGAGCGCAGGCGGUUUCUUAAGUCUGAUGUGCAAGCCCCCGGCUCAACCGGGGAGGGUCAUUGGAAACUGGGAGACUUGAGUGCAGAAGAGGAGAGUGGAAUUCCAUGUGUAGCGGUGAAAUGCGUAGAUAUAUGGAGGAACACCAGUGGCGAAGGCGGCUCUCUGGUCUGUAACUGACGCUGAGGCUCGAAAGCGUGGGGAGCAAACAGG
rnacentral:rRNA from 1 species